rnacentral:rRNA from 1 species
GAUGAACGCUGGCGGCGUGCUUAACACAUGCAAGUCGAACGAUAAAGCCCAGCUUGCUGGGUGGCUUAGUGGCGAACGGGUGAGUAACACGUGAGUAACCUGCCCUUAACUCUGGGGUAAGCCUGGGAAACUGGGUCUAAUACACGAUAGGAGCGUCCACCCCAUGGUGGGUGUUGGAAAGAUUUAUCGGUUUUGGAUGGACUCGCGGCCUAUCAGCUUGUUGGUGGGGGAAUGGCUCACCAAGGCGGCGACGGGUAGGCCGCCUGUGAGGGGGACCGGGCCCCAUGGGACUGAGAGACGGCCCAGACUCCUACGGGAGGCAGCAGUGGGGAAUAUUGCACAAUGGGCGCAAGCCUGAUGCAGCGACGCCGCGUGCGGGAUGACGGCCUUCGGGUUGUAAACCUCUUUCAGUAGGGAAGAAGCGAGAGUGACGGUACCUGCAGAAGAAGCACCGGCUAACUACGUG